AAUAUUGGACAAUGGGGGCAACCCUGAUCCAGCCAUGCCGCGUGUGUGAAGAAGGUCNNNGGAUUNUCAAGCACUUUAAGUUGNGAGNAAGGGCUUUAGGCUAAUACCCUGAAGUUUUGACGUUACCAACAGAAUAAGCACCGGCUAACUCUGUGCCAGCAGCCGUGGUAAUACAGAGGGUGCAAGCGUUAAUCGGAAUUACUGGGCGUAAAGCGGGGGUGGUUGGUUCAGAAGAUUGGGUGUGAGGUCCCGGGCUUAACCUGGGAACUGCUUUCAUAACUGCUGAGCUAGAGUACGGUAGAGGGUAGUGGAAUUUCCUGUGUAGCGGUGAAAUGCGUAGAUAUAGGAAGGAACACCAGUGGCGAAGGCGACUACCUGGACUGAUACUGACACUGAGGUGCGAAAGCGUGGGGAGCAAAC
rnacentral:rRNA from 1 species